UUAUCCAGAGCCUGGGUAUGAGACUGCUGAUGUCAAAAACAAAGAAAUGAAUGCAGCUACUGAAAAUUAAUGCAAGUAUAAGGACAUUUUUAAUAUCAGUAUUUUUACUAGAACAGUAAAAGAUUAAAUUUCACAUCGUGCAUCAAGGACGCAAGGAGAUUUCGUCCCACAAAUUAUAUUAAUGUUUUAUGCUUUAAUGCAUAACACUGAAAAUAGUGAAACAACCGCAACAGCUAGUAACAGCAAAAAAAAAAACAAUAACAAGAAACGCUAGCUUGUCUGGAUACUUCAUUAUUAAUAUUAAUAAUAAUUAAUGAAAAUAAACUGGUGAAAUAAAUAUAUAUCUUAACGCAAAGAGCAUCUAAAAAAACUCAGUAUGAAUAAUACUGGUUUUACCUCAAACAUCUUUAAUUAAAUAUAAUAUUAUGCCUCUUGUCGCAACCCCAUUUGACCAUAAUGCAUCGCGGUACAUAAAAUGGC